AACCGCAUGGUUCUAUAGUGAAAGAUGGUUUUGCUAUCACUUAUAGAUGGACCCGCGCCGUAUUAGCUAGUUGGUAAGGUAACGGCUUACCAAGGCGACGAUACGUAGCCGACCUGAGAGGGUGAUCGGCCACACUGGAACUGAGACACGGUCCAGACUCCUACGGGAGGCAGCAGUAGGGAAUCUUCCGCAAUGGGCGAAAGCCUGACGGAGCAACGCCGCGUGAGUGAUGAAGGGUUUCGGCUCGUAAAACUCUGUUAUUAGGGAAGAACAUAUGUGUAAGUAACUGUGCACAUCUUGACGGUACCUAAUCAGAAAGCCACGGCUAACUACGUGCCAGCAGCCGCGGUAAUACGUAGGUGGCAAGCGUUAUCCGGAAUUAUUGGGCGUAAAGCGCGCGUAGGCGGUUUCUUAAGUCUGAUGUGAAAGCCCACGGCUCAACCGUGGAGGGUCAUUGGAAACUGGGAAACUUGAGUGCAGAAGAGGAAAGUGGAAUUCCAUGUGUAGCGGUGAAAUGCGCAGAGAUAUGGAGGAACACCAGUGGCGAAGGCGACUUUCUGGUCUGUAACUGACGCUGAUGUGCGA
rnacentral:rRNA from 1 species